rnacentral:rRNA from 1 species
GACGAACGCUGGCGGCGUGCUUAACACAUGCAAGUCGAACGGAAAGGCCCUGCUUUUGUGGGGUGCUCGAGUGGCGAACGGGUGAGUAACACGUGAGUAACCUGCCCUUGACUUUGGGAUAACUUCAGGAAACUGGGGCUAAUACCGGAUAGGAGCUCCUGCUGCAUGGUGGGGGUUGGAAAGUUUCGGCGGUUGGGGAUGGACUCGCGGCUUAUCAGCUUGUUGGUGGGGUAGUGGCUUACCAAGGCUUUGACGGGUAGCCGGCCUGAGAGGGUGACCGGCAACAUUGGGGUGGGAUUCGGGCCGGGCCCCCUCGGGGGGAAGCGAGGGGGGAUGAUGGAACAUGGGGGGGAGGCCGAAUCCGGCACCCCCGCGUGGGGGGGGGGGGCUUGCGGUUUGUAAACCGCUUCCCCCUGUAACAAAGGGUGAGGGAGGGAAAUGGAUAAAGAGACACGGCCAAACUACGUC